AUAGUUUGAGUUAAAGACAAGAAGCCAACACACACAAGAAACAACACACUUGUCAUGGAUCUCCAGGUUACCCUCGAUACUAAAGCAUAGCUAUGGUUGAAAAUGUAGUUGCAAUGCAUGUAUCUCUCUAUUUUGCCUCAAUGAAGCGUAAUAGCUGAAAACGAACAUGACAAUUACACAUCACAAGUUACAUUUUAGUCAGCUGAAAAACAGUUCUACAGGUGAAAGAGAUUGAAUUGUAGUUGCAGAAUGCGUGUAUCUCUCUAUUUUGCCUCACUGAAGCAUAAUAGCUGAAAAGGAACAUGACAAUUACACAUCACAAGUUACAUAUUAGUCAGCUAAAAAACAGUUCUACAGGUGAAAGACAUUGCACGUCAUUCCUUCUUCAGAUGUCCUAGCUCAACCAAAUUAUCAACCAAUCAAGCACCUCCAUCCCAAACUAGUCGGAUUUGAUUAUAUAAUCUUCUAUAGCAUUCCGCUCAACCACUGAGCAUUGGAUUAAUUUAUCUUCCAUAACACCAUCACAUA
rnacentral:lncRNA from 1 species